GGUCUGCUAGUUAAAGUGUGUUAUAAUGUGGAUUUUGUAAGUCUGAGUUGAUCGGUGAUCGUUGGCCU
rnacentral:tRNA from 1 species